rnacentral:misc_RNA from 1 species
GAUGAAGAACGCACCGAAAUGCGAUAAGUAAUGUGAAUUGCAGAAUUCAGUGAAUCAUCGAAUCUUUGAACGCACCUUGCACCCUUUGGCAUUCCGAAGGGUAUGCUCGUUUGAGUGUCAUAGUACUCUCACUCUCCCGAUACUUUUGGAUCGGGAGUGGUGGACUUGGGUGCUGCUGCUUAACUGUGGCUCGCCUUAAAUGAAGUAGUGCAACUCUCGGUUGGACAUAGUACGGCGUGAUAAGUGUCUUCGCCGGCGCCUCAUUCGAGGGUGGCCGAUCGGGAGCUCUGUGCUUCAAACUGUCUUCGGACAACAUCUGACAACUUGACCUCAAAUCGAGUAGGACUACCCGCUGAACUUAAGCAUAUCAAUAAGCGGAGGA